CACAGUGAUUGAUUUAAACAAAAGUUACAUGGCCAAUAGCUAGGCAAGACUUUCAGGGCAGAGGAAAUGCUGGGAAGGAGUACGCUGAAGUCAGACAGAUGCCAAACAAGUGGUGCACACAAAAUGGGAUAGAGCAAGCUGCAAAGAUAAAAAGAAACAUAUAACAAAACCAUGCUCUUGCUUGAAGCAAAACUUCCCGUCAUGUAUUAAGGUUGAAGAAGGGGAACUCUUCAAUAGGAUAUCAGGACCGCCUAUUAAGCUGAGUAAGAGGCAAGCUCAGAAUACAGGUCCAGAUCUGAGCACUACCGCGGAAUGGCACGGCUCCCUCCCUUUGGGGUUGAAGGGUGUGGGUUUUGAAGAAACCAGGCCGCCAGAACGGGGGACAGUGACUGUCACUCUGGCACCUCCGGUUUUACCAAGCCGCGCCGGCGGUAUCCCUCCGGACCAGCGCCAGGGAAAGGCAGCACGGGGACACGCGACCCCGGGGGUCCCCCAAGGCCACCGGUCCCGAGGUCGGCCCCCAGGCCUAAGCAAUCCCCAGCGCCCCGCUGGGACGACCGCGGGGAUCCCGGCCCGGCUCGCGGCCACCCAGCGCCCGGCCUCUGCUUCCUGCGCUGCCAGCGCGAGCCUGCUCACUCGCACCACCAUACCU